rnacentral:rRNA from 1 species
AUUGAACGCUGGCGGCAGGCCUAACACAUGCAAGUCGAGCGGAUGAAGGGAGCUUGCUCCUGGAUUCAGCGGCGGACGGGUGAGUAAUGCCUAGGAAUCUGCCUGGUAGUGGGGGAUAACGUCCGGAAACGGGCGCUAAUACCGCAUCCGUCCUGAGGGAGAAGGUGGGGGAUCUUCGGACCUCACGCUAUCAGAUGAGCCUAGGUCGGAUUAGCUAGUUGGUGGGGUAAAGGCCUACCAAGGCGACGAUCCGUAACUGGUCUGAGAGGAUGAUCAGUCACACUGGAACUGAGACACGGUCCAGACUCCUACGGGAGGCAGCAGUGGGGAAUAUUGGACAAUGGGCGAAAGCCUGAUCCAGCCAUGCCGCGUGUGUGAAGAAGGUCUUCGGAUUGUAAAGCACUUUAAGUUGGGAGGAAGGGCAGUAAGUUAAUACCUUGCUGUUUUGACGUUACCAACAGAAUAAGCACCGGCUAACUUCGUG